rnacentral:rRNA from 1 species
AACGAACGCUGGCGGCAGGCUUAACACAUGCAAGUCGAACGCACCUUUCGGGGUGAGUGGCAGACGGGUGAGUAACGCGUGGGAAUCUACCCUUCUCUACGGGAUAGCUCCGGGAAACUGGAAUUAAUACCGUAUACGUCCUGAGGGAGAAAGAUUUAUCGGGGAAGGAUGAGCCCGCGUUGGAUUAGCUAGUUGGUGGGGUAAAGGCCUACCAAGGCGACGAUCCAUAGCUGGUCUAAGAGGAUGAUCAGCCACAUUGGGACUGAGACACGGCCCAAACUCCUACGGGAGGCAGCAGUGGGGAAUAUUGGACAAUGGGCGCAAGCCUGAUCCAGCCAUGCCGCGUGAGUGAUGAAGGCCCUAGGGUUGUAAAGCUCUUUCAGUGGGGACGAUAAUGACGGCACCCACAGAAGAAGCCCCGGCUAACUUCGUGCCAGCCGCCGCAGUAA